CUCAACACUGUCCCACCCAGAUGGCUCCAAGAGGCCGCUGUCAGUCUCUCCCACCGCACACAUCGCCGCAAUUUCUCCUGUGACCCCCGCCAGACUGCCAGCACCCAGAGGACGCUCAGAGCUCCCUCGGAAUCAUUCUUUACUCCUUCCCCAUCCCGGCAGUAACACGGAACCGCAUUCCGGUUCCAGACGCCCUUUGAAGUCUUGCCUCUCCCCAGGCCAAGGAGUGCCGCUUGACAAAGCCCUAGGGUUCCAGCCUGGUCCUGCUGAGGGAGCCGUGAGACCAGUCAGCCUGGGGUGCUGGUUUUCCCAACGGGUACUCCCUGAGCUAUCAGCCUUCCAGAGGGGCUCCUAGGAGGGGGAAGCCCCAUCCUCUGACUGAAGCGGUCCUAUGAGGCCCUGUUCAACCCCAGGGUUCAAAGGACACACCCUAGAUGAGCCAUCCCCCAGGAUGACGCCACCUCUGAGAUCUUGGUCUCCUGGCUCCGUCUCUGACCACAACCCAAGAAUGGGGUGAGGGCACAGGGUGUGGACUCAACUACAGGAGGGCUUCCUGUUCAUGCAACGUCCCCAGAGCCUUGACGAAUGCACAGAGGCGCUGGCAGAACCACGGGGGCAGGACCCCUCUCUGAGUCACAGAAUGGAGCUAAGUUGGUGAGGUCACCCAGGUAACAUCCCAAGCACAGGGUGCCACACCUGUGCAGCCACAGCAGCCUCCUGACCUCCCCAGAGCCGUGUCUAGAACCCAUUUUUGCCCUGUUGGCCAGCCUUCCUCCUUCCUCCUCCUCCCAUCAUCCUAUCUUCACUGCCUCCAGACCUCAUCUCAGCACAUUCUCACACUCCCGACCCCCUCUGCAGCCGCCACUGCCCCACUGAUGCCUGAGCCAGGGGCAGGGGCAGACCUGCCCGGCCUGGCCUCCAGCCUGGUGGACCAUCACCUGUGCAAACUCCGAACACCUCCUCCAGGUGCUCUGGCUGGCUUUCCCUGGUGUCCAGUAGCCGCCUCCUGAGACCCCUAAUGCCAGCCUCACAGUCUCAGCAACC
rnacentral:lncRNA from 1 species